UACGUAGGGGGCAAGCGUUGUCCGGAAUCAUUGGGCGUAAAGCGCGUGUAGGCGGCUGAGUAAGUCUGCUCUGAAAGCCCGGGGCUCAACCCCGGGAGGCGGGUGGAUACUGCUCAGCUCGAGUCCGGAAGAGGAGUGUGGAAUUCCUGGUGUAGCGGUGAAAUGCGCAGAUAAUCAGGAGGAACACCAAUGGCGAAGGCAGCACUCUGGGACGGUACUGACGCGAGACGCGAAAGCGUGGGGAGCAAACAGG
rnacentral:rRNA from 1 species